CCUACGGGAGGCAGCAGUGGGGAAUAUUGGACAAUGGACGAAAGUCUGAUCCAGCAAUGCCGCGUGAGUGAUGAAGGCCUUAGGGUUGUAAAGCUCUUUUACCAGGGAUGAUAAUGACAGUACCUGGAGAAUAAGCUCCGGCUAACUCCGUGCCAGCAGCCGCGGUAAUACGGAGGGAGCUAGCGUUGUUCGGAAUUACUGGGCGUAAAGCGCACGUAGGCGGUUAUUCAAGUCAGAGGUGAAAGCCCGGGGCUCAACCCCGGAACUGCCUUUGAAACUAGAUAGCUAGAAUCCUGGAGAGGUGAGUGGAAUUCCGAGUGUAGAGGUGAAAUUCGUAGAUAUUCGGAAGAACACCAGUGGCGAAGGCGGCUCACUGGACAGGUAUUGACGCCGAGGUGCGAAAGCGUGGGGAGCAAACAGGAUUAGAUACCCUGGUAGUCCACGCCGUAAACGAUGAUAACUAGCUGUCCGGGCACAUGGUGCUUGGGUGGCGCAGCUAACGCAUUAAGUUAUCCGCCUGGGGAGUACGGUCGCAAGAUUAAAACUCAAAGAUAGUACGGCGUGAGAGAGCGACGACGACGACGAGGAGGAGGAG
rnacentral:rRNA from 1 species